rnacentral:rRNA from 1 species
GUGAGUAAGCGCAGCGAUGCGUUGAGCUAACCGGUACUUAUGAACCGUGAGGCUUAACCUUACAACGCCGAAG